GAGGUUGUGGCUCAGAGGUAGAGCACUUGUCAGAUGCACCUGAAGCACUGGGUUUGAUCCCCAGCACCACA
rnacentral:tRNA from 1 species